AGAUUGAACGCUAGCGGGAUGCUUUACACAUGCAAGUCGAACGGCAGCGCGGACUUCGGUCUGGCGGCGAGUGGCGAACGGGUGAGUAAUAUAUCGGAACGUGCCCAGUAGCGGGGGAUAACUACGCGAAAGCGUGGCUAAUACCGCAUACGCCCUACGGGGGAAAGGGGGGGAUUCUUCGGAACCUCUCACUAUUGGAGCGGCCGAUAUCAGAUUAGCUAGUUGGUGAGGUAAAGGCUCACCAAGGCGACGAUCUGUAGCUGGUCUGAGAGGAUGAUCAGCCACACUGGAACUGAGACACGGUCCAGACUCCUACGGGAGGCAGCAGUAGGGAAUAUUGGACAAUGGGCGCAAGCCUGAUCCAGCCAUGCCGCGUGAGUGAAGAAGGCCUUCGGUGUAAAGCUCUUUUGUCCGGUAAAGAAAAGCUUACGGUCAAUACCCGGAGUCCUGACGGUACCGGAAGAAUAAGCAACCGGCUAACUUCGUGCCAGCAGCCG
rnacentral:rRNA from 1 species